rnacentral:rRNA from 1 species
AGAGUUUGAUCCUGGCUCAGGACGAACGCUGGCGGCGCGCCUAACACACGCAAGUCGAACGAGAGAGAGGAAGCUUGCUUCCUCAAUCGAGUGGCGAACGGGUGAGUAACGCAUGAGGAACCUGCCUCAAAGAGGGGGACAACAGUUGGAAACGACUGCUAAUACCGCAUAAGCCCACGGGUCGGCAUCGACCAGAGGGAAAAGGAGCAAUCCGCUUUGAGAUGGCCUCGCGUCCGAUUAGCUGGUUGGUGAGGUAAUGGCCCACCAAGGCGACGAUCGGUAGCCGGACUGAGAGGUUGAACGGCCACAUUGGGACUGAGACACGGCCCAGACUCCUACGGGAGGCAGCAGUGGGGAAUAUUGCACAAUGGGGGAAACCCUGAUGCAGCGACGCCGCGUGGAGGAAGAAGGUCUUCGGAUUGUAAACUCCUGUUGUUGAGGAAGAUAAUGACGGUACUCAACAAGGAAGUGACGGCUAACUACGUGCCAGCAGCCGCGGUAAAACGUAGGUCACAAGCGUUGUCCGGAAUUACUGGGUGUAAAGGGAGCGCAGGCGGGAAGACAAGUUGGAAGUGAAAUCUAUGGGCUCAACCCAUAAACUGCUUUCAAAACUGUUUUUCUUGAGUAGUGCAGAGGUAGGCGGAAUUCCCGGUGUGGCGGUGGAAUGCGUAGAUAUCGGGAGGAACACCAGUGGCGAAGGCGGCCUACUGGGCACCAACUGACGCUGAGGCUCGAAAGUGUGGGUAGCAAACAGGAUUAGAUACCCUGGUAGUCCACACCGUAAACGAUGAUUACUAGGUGUUGGAGGAUUGACCCCUUCAGUGCCGCAGUUAACACAAUAAGUAAUCCACCUGGGGAGUACGACCGCAAGGUUGAAACUCAAAGGAAUUGACGG